GUCGAACGUGAUUGAGAGCUUGCUCUCAUGAAAGUGGCGCACGGGUGAGUAACACGUGGAUAAUCUGCCUGGCGAUUUGGGAUAGCACUUCGAAAGGGGUGCUAAUACCGAAUAAGCCCACGGUCUCUUUGGAGAGCGCGGGAAAAGGGGGCCUCUGUAUAUGCUCCUGUCGCUAGAUGAGUCCGCGGCCCAUUAGCUAGUUGGUAGGGUAAUGGCCUACCAAGGCGACGAUGGGUAGCUGGUCUGAGAGGAUGAUCAGCCACACUGGAACUGAGACACGGCCCAGACUCCUACGGGAGGCAGCAGUGGGGAAUAUUGGACAAUGGGCGCAAGCCUGAUCCAGCCAUGCCGCGUGAGUGAUGAAGGCCUUCGGGUUGUAAAGCUCUUUUGGCGGGGACGAUGAUGACGGUACCCGCAGAAUAAGCCCCGGCAAACUUCGUGCCAGCCGCCGCAGUAAUAC
rnacentral:rRNA from 1 species